UACGUAGGGAGCAAGCGUUGUCCGGAAUCAUUGGGCGUAAAGCGCGUGUAGGCGGCCAGAAAAGUCCGCUGUGAAAACUCGAGGCUCAACUUCGAGCUGUCGGUGGAAACUUUCUGGCUAGAGUCCGGAAGAGGAGAAUGGAAUUCCUGGUGUAGCGGUGAAAUGCGCAGAUAUCAGGAAGAACACCCGUGGCGAAGGCGGUUCUCUGGGACGGUACUGACGCUGAGACGCGAAAGCGUGGGGAGCGAACAGG
rnacentral:rRNA from 1 species